rnacentral:rRNA from 1 species
GACGAACGCUGGCGGCGUGCCUAAUACAUGCAAGUAGAACGCACAGUAUAUACCGUAGCUUGCUACACCAUAGGCUGUGAGUUGCGAACGGGUGAGUAACGCGUAGGUAACCUGCCUGGUAGCGGGGGAUAACUAUUGGAAACGAUAGCUAAUACCGCAUAAUAUUAAUUAUUGCAUGAUAAUUGAUUGAAAGAUGCAACUGCAUCACUACCAGAUGGACCUGCGUUGUAUUAGCUAGUAGGUGAGGUAACGGCUCACCUAGGCGACGAUACAUAGCCGACCUGAGAGGGUGAUCGGCCACACUGGGACUGAGACACGGCCCAGACUCCUACGGGAGGCAGCAGUAGGGAAUCUUCGGCAAUGGACGAAAGUCUGACCGAGCAACGCCGCGUGAGUGAAGAAGGUUUUCGGAUCGUAAAGCUCUGUUGUAAGAGAAGAACGGGUGUGAGAGUGGAAAGUUCACACUGGACG